AAAGAAGAGAACAUCUCGGCACUCUGCAUUAACGCGUGACGCAUGCGGAGCUGAGUGCGCGUUCGCGGCGCGCCGCCGCCGCCGGCGGUCACGCGCAGGGCCACGCGGUUCUCGGGGCGGCGCCGCUGAUUGGCCGCUUCCCCGCAGGCCCGCCGCUCCCGGGGAAGCGGGUUUGGCCUCCACAGCCCGAACGGAAGAAAACCAGACAAUCCUGUGCAUAUUGGACCAUCAGACCACAGAGAGUUCUGGAUAACAACACUCUCUCCGACCUCCUUUACACCUCGGCUGGAUCACCCCAGGGCUGUGUGCUGUCUCCCCUGCUCUUCAUCUUAUACACAGUAUAAUAUACAGUUAUACACUGUAAUCAGAAGGUUUCCGGUUCGAAUCCCGAUCCGCCAAGGUGCCACUGAGCAAAGAACCGUCCCCACACACUGCUCCCUGGGCACUUGGGCUGCCCACUGCUCACUCAGGGACAAAUUUCACUGUGUGCACCGUGUGCUGUGCAUUACAUGUGACAAUCACUUCAGUUCAAAGUCAGCAAAACCCAAGAGAACCCAACAAACAGAGGGACCUGGCUGUAGCAGUUACCACCUAAUAGAGCUAAAUAAAUACCUGGGCACCAUCUUUGACCACCUACUGAAGUUCUCCUCAAACUACUUCUUCAUAGAGAGAAGUAGCCUAGCGGGUCAUAUCAUUCUCCAUCAUUUGCUGGUCUCCAUUCCACCAGUAUGCAGAACAGGAAUCAGCUACAGAGCGCCGUCAGCAUGUGCUCCAAGAUUAUUGUACUGCCUGUGAGAUCCUUAUCACACGUCUGUGACCAGGCUGCCACUCGAGAUCAUCAGAGACCCCUCACACCCUAUGAACUCCCCUCCAGUGGCUCCCCUCCAGACGCCGGCUCCGAUGCCCCGGCUGCAGUACACAGAGGAGGAAGGUCCCCUUUGUCCCUAAAGCUGUCCUUCUAUUGAACUCUGGACAUCCCCCCAGAACAACUAUCAUCAACUCACACACUUUUUAAAUGAUGCACCUUACUGCUCCUGUUAUGUAGUUAUUUAUCGUUGUCCAUAGUACAAUACAAGGAAAAUUUAUUGCGUUUAUUGUAACAAGAUAUUAUUCGUGAGCUGCUCCACUGUGCCUUCUAAAUUGCCCC
rnacentral:lncRNA from 1 species